UUAGACUAUCGAAAGCAGUCCAUAUGGAAAGGGAUAUAUGAUGGAGAAUAUAAUACGUUACCACCCUCUCUCAAUUGGACCUCUUUGCCCUCUAGUCCUUUAGCCACUUUCCCUCUCAUUUCAGGACAUUUGACUUUCUCAUUCAGAAGAAGAGGAAGCUAGUGGUCUUUGUACAUGCACUGCUUGGUUAACGCAACUUAUAUGAUUUCACAGCACCCGCUAUGAGAAAUGCUGGAAGAAGACCGUAGUUUUGGUUGCAUAAACAGAAGCAGGAACGACUACAAUGCAGCUUGCCAAGGAGCAAAAGUCUGCAAAAAGAGGUAGUCAUUGGGAAUUCAAAUACACAGUAACUUUGGUUGCACAGACAGAAGCAGAAACGACUACAAUGUUAGCUUGCUCCUGGCAA